UACGGGGGGGGCAAGCGUUGUUCGGAAUUACUGGGCGUAAAGGGCUCGUAGGUGGCCAACUAAGUCAGACGUGAAAUCCCUCGGCUUAACCGGGGAACUGCGUCUGAUACUGGAUGGCUUGAGUUUGGGAGAGGGAUGCGGAAUUCCAGGUGUAGCGGUGAAAUGCGUAGAGAUGUGGAGGAACACCGAUGGCGAAGGCAGCCCCCUGGGAUGACACUGACGCUCAUACACGAAAGCGUGGGGAGCAAACAGG
rnacentral:rRNA from 1 species